UACGUAGGGAGCAAGCGUUGUCCGGAAUCAUUGGGCGUAAAGCGCGCGUAGGUGGCCUCGUAAGUCCGCUGUGAAAGUCAAAGGCUCAACCUUUGAAAGCCGGUGGAUACUGUGGGGCUAGAGUACGGAAGAGGCGAGUGGAAUUCCUGGUGUAGCGGUGGAAUGCGCAGAUAUCGGGAAGAACACCCGUGGCGAAGGCGGUUCUCUGGGACGGUACUGACGCUGAGACGCGAAAGCGUGGGGAGCGAACAGG
rnacentral:rRNA from 1 species